GUGGGGAAUAUUGCACAAUGGGCGCAAGCCUGAUGCAGCAACGCCGCGUGAGGGACGACGGCCUUCGGGUUGUAAACCUCUUUUAGCAGGGAAGAAGCGAAAGUGACGGUACCUGCAGAAAAAGCACCGGCUAACUACGUGCCAGCAGCCGCGGUAAUACGUAGGGUGCAAGCGUUGUCCGGAAUUAUUGGGCGUAAAGAGCUCGUAGGCGGUUUGUCGCGUCUGCUGUGAAAACCCGAGGCUCAACCUCGGGCCUGCAGUGGGUACGGGCAGACUAGAGUGCGGUAGGGGAGAUUGGAAUUCCUGGUGUAGCGGUGGAAUGCGCAGAUAUCAGGAGGAACACCGAUGGCGAAGGCAGAUCUCUGGGCCGUAACUGACGCUGAGGAGCGAAAGCGUGGGGAGCGAACAGGAUUAGAUACCCUAGUAGUCC
rnacentral:rRNA from 1 species